rnacentral:rRNA from 1 species
GACGAACGCUGGCGGCGUGCCUAAUACAUGCAAGUAGAACGCUGAAGGAGGAGCUUGCUCUUCUGGAUGAGUUGCGAACGGGUGAGUAACGCGUAGGUAACCUGCCUGGUAGCGGGGGAUAACUAUUGGAAACGAUAGCUAAUACCGCAUAAUAGUAGAUGUUGCAUGACAUUUACUUAAAAGGUGCAAUUGCAUCACUACCAGAUGGACCUGCGUUGUAUUAGCUAGUUGGUGGGGUAACGGCUCACCAAGGCGACGAUACAUAGCCGACCUGAGAGGGUGAUCGGCCACACUGGGACUGAGACACGGCCCAGACUCCUACGGGAGGCAGCAGUAGGGAAUCUUCGGCAAUGGACGAAAGUCUGACCGAGCAACGCCGCGUGAGUGAAGAAGGUUUUCGGAUCGUAAAGCUCUGUUGUAAGAGAAGAACGAGUGUGAGAGUGGAAAGUUCACACUGUGACGGUAUCUUACCAGAAAGGGACGGCUAACUACGUGCCAGCAGCCGCGGUAAUACGUAGGUCCCGAGCGUUGUCUGGAUUUAUUGGGCGUAAAGCGAGCGCAGGCGGUUAGAUAAGUCUGAAGUUAAAGGCUGUGGCUUAACCAUAGUACGCUUUGGAAACUGUUUAACUUGAGUGCAAGAGGGGAGAGUGGAAUUCCAUGUGUAGCGGUGAAAUGCGUAGACAUAUGGAGGAACACCGGUGGCGAAAGCGGCUCUCUGGCUUGUAACUGACGCUGAGGCUCGAAAGCGUGGGGAGCAAACAGG